ACUACCUUCACUGUGCUUGUAGCUACAGCGUGUUGCCCGUCAGUGGGCAGUUGUGGCAAAGCAGAGUGAAACUAUGCUGCUAGUGCCUACUAAAAUAAUGCCUGGGAGUGAAAAAAGGAAAGAGAGAAAGCGCAGCACGUGGCUAUACCGUAGCCAAGUGGGAGAGGACCAAGGUCUGCUGACCCGCCCACAAGUGGAAUGGGAAGAUUUGACUUGCUAAUUAGCUGACCACGUAUCCUCCAGUCAUUCAUCAACGUCUGCUCUGCAAACUGCCUAUCCAUCCAUCCAUCCAUCCAUCUUCGAUGCCACUUCUCCUCCUUGGGGUCGCGGGGGCAUGCUGGAGCCUAUCCAAGCUGACUUCGGGCGACAGGCGGGAUACACCCUGGACUGGUUGCCAGCCAAUCGCAAGGCACAUAUAGACAAACAACCAUUCACACUCACAUUCAUACCUAUGGACAAUAUUUUCUGCAAAUACAACAUGCUCUCUAUUGUUUCUUAAUUACUCACAUUUUUGGAGGCUCAUCUGACUCUUCAACAUAUGGUUGGAAUGUGGGUUUCUGGAGAGGAGGCGGCGCCAUCAUUGUCUUACCAAACUUGGACUUCUGUCGCAUCUUUGAUGGACAAAAAUAGAGGGAAAAUGAGGAGGAGCUAACCAAGGCUCCAAUUUAGGUUCCGAAAGAGCGGCGCCUGCCUUGUUCUCAUCGAAGACCACGAGCUUACUAUUGCUGCUGUGGCUGCUGCUUUCACCAACGGUGGAGACACGUCCAGUUCUGUUGAUAGGCACGGCGGCCUUCUUCCCUCUGGUUUUGAGUUCGGCAAGAGAAACUCUCUCAGGUUGUUUGGGCUCGUCAUCACUGUCGCUCUCAGUGACUUUCUUCAUCACCUGUCGCGACACGCGAGUCUGCAGCGUCCUGAAAAAUGUGUACAUUAGGAUUACAUGCAGGGAAAGAAAUGUCACAGUAGAUAUGGUAAGUGAACAUACCCCUGCUAAAAUACAGUACUAGGAACAGAAAACGCGAUAAUAAAUCCUAAAAAAUAAUGUGAAUUAUAUAGCCAGUAUCUUUAAACUAAAAAAUAAAUAACCUGCUCCAAUUUGUUGAUUUUUCCUUUUCUUUGCUUUUUGAGUGAUAAAUUUUAUAUAUUUUUGACAUUCAGCACAGUUUUAGGAGUGGCUCUGUUCACUGUACAGUAUGUUAUACAAUGUUUAUAUGAAUGUGAUAAAAGGCCUUGCAGUCGAGUAGUUCAACCAAUAAAUUGGUAGAUGCCUACUUGUGAAACAGCUGAAGCUUAUCAAAGGGCUGAGCAAACAUCUUGAGUCCUUCCUGGUAGAUCAAGUCAGCUUUGAGGAAGUCGCCGCGGGUCUCAUAUUCCUCGGACCAGGCAAUGUAGAAGGCCGCCCUGGUGAUCCCUAUACCCUGAGCUUGCAUGUACCUGUAAAUGUCCAAGCGUUCCAAGCAGCACCACGCCUGAUAAGCACACACGGUGUGGUUUUAACAUUGAAGCAGUUUGUCAGCUUGGUAAAUGACUGAAAUAUCAGAAGACACACAUAUUUGAUCCACAGGUCAACGUAGCGAGGAUCGUUGUGAUACUUCUUUUCAUCUGUGAAUCGGGUCACAGCUUGCUCCAACAGUGUGCUCAGGUUGCUGUCCUUUCCUCCCUGAGGAAACAUUUGCUCGGACCAUUUGAUGUACCUAUUCAACACAGAACCACAUGAGGAGAAAAAAAAUGUCUUCUGAGCGCUCACAUCUGUGCAAUAACUUACACUUACCGAUCCCAAACAUCAAGUGGAUCAUCUCCGUCGUACAGUCGCAAUUCCGUCUCAAAAGCCCUAAGAAAAAAAAGUGUCUUAAAAAAAAAAUCCAAUAAUUUGCAGUUUAUGAAGAAGUGACAUCUCAUCAGUAUUCAUACUGUUUCUGUUGGAGGAUGGCAGGGCUGGGGCCAUCUUUGCUUUGGCUGAGGGCCUGCAUCA